rnacentral:snoRNA from 1 species
GCACCUCAGUACAACCCUGUUGAUUCUUUUUGUUUGACGAGGGUCAUUGUUGGUGCCAAAGAGACUCAAAGUCAAUCCAGAUGGAUCUCCUCUUCCGUUGGAGUCUGUCUCUACAACUUUGAUACAUAA